CUGGCUGGUAAUUUUCAGAGUGGGGUAGAGACACUGAUAAUCCCUCACACUACUGUCUAGUUAAUAUUUUUAAGAUUUGAGAGAAAGAGAGAGAGAGAGUGUGUGUGUGUGUGUGUGUGGGUGGGUGGAUGGGUGGGUGGCAGGGGCAGAGGGAGAGGCGGAGAAAGAAUCCUCAAGCAGACUCUCCACUGAGCGUGGAGCCUGACGUGGGGCUCGAUUCCAGGACCCAGAGAUCAUGACCUAAGCCGAAAUUUAGAGUUGGCUGCUUCACCAACUCUGCCACCCAGGUGCCUCUGUCUGGUUAAUAUUUAAUGUGAAGACUCAACAAGUAUUUUUGACCAAAGCAGAAUGGGAAUGGCAAGACUUCUCACCCUUGGCCACAGGCAAUACCGAACUAAUCUCUAAAGAUCUUUCAAGGAUCCCCUUAAAAAGAUGUGCAUGUCAACCUCAGUUAAGAAUCAGAUCCAUAAAUACCUAUUAAACAGGGUGAGGGACACAUCCCAGAAUUGCAAUGAACUCCUGGCUUGCUAUGGACCUGGUCAGAGGCAGCUCCAUGAGGGGAGGAAAUGAGUCACAAUCACCUUGGAAUCCUCACACUCACCAUUGUGUCUGGUACAUACUAUGUAUGUGAUCAAUCUUGCAAAAAUGAAGGAAGACCUUAUUUAGGUGUCUGCCCAGCCAAGGAUGCCCAGAGCAGAUGUCCUCCGCAUGCACCAGUCCACCGCGCUGAUAAACUCCAGAAAGACGCAAGGCCCACCUUAGCCAGUUUACACACAUGA
rnacentral:lncRNA from 1 species